CGGACUCCUGGCCUCAAGUGAUCCUCCCAUCUUGGCCUCCUAAAGUGCUGGGAUUCCAGGCGUGAGCCACUGCACCUGGCCCUGUUUUUGUCAUUUGAGACAGGUUCUCGCUAUAUCGCCCAGGCUAGUUUCAAACUCCUGGGCUCAAGAGAUCCUCCUGCCUCAGAUUCCCCAGCAGCUGGGACUACAGGCGCAGCCACUCACCAGUGUGGCCUUAGGGUUUUUGUAGUCAAUAUUGAACUCACCCACUCAUCCAUUUAUUCACUCGUGAAUCAAUUACUGAGUGCUUAUUCUGUGCCAUGCGCUAUGCCCGGCACAGAAGACACAAAGAUGAAUAAAGCAUCUCCCUGCGAUGGGCGAGUGAGGGAGGCUGGAUCCCUGGGGAAGCCCAAAGAGUGGAAUUAGACAACAUUGUGGAAAUUAAACACAAAUAACGGGCACUAGUGAUGUGAAGGCAGCAUGAUUCCAUUUGAUGUGAAACUAGAAGGAUAGAAACUCAUUUACCAAUUAUCUUUAAAUUCUAACAACUAUUUUUAGCCUUUAGAUGUGGAAAAAAUAACUUGUAUUACAGGAUGUGUUACCUAACUGUCUGCUUUAACAUGAUGGUGGUUUUCCUCCUUCUGUCUUCUAGAUCCCUGGAAAUGUGGGUGCAUAUGAGGCUCCCUCUGCCUCCUCCCACAGCCAUAUGAGCUGCCGCCUCCUAGGAGAACCUGGCAGGGCUGGCAGCACCCCCAGCUCCCCAGUUCAGCCCAGAAGGGGGCUGCCUGGACUCCAAGAUUUCUCCCUUCACCCGCGGCUGCCUCCUGCCCCCAUGACUACAGUGUGAUGCUGUCUGGGAAGCUGAAUGUCAUCUUCCCUGGGCUUACCUGCCAGGCUCCUCUCAUCCACAUCUUCCAGCCUCUAGCCACAUGGACCCCUCCGGAAAGCAUGUGUGUGUGGGGGGGAACAGAGUGCAGCCGCCACUGGCCUUUUCUCAGGCACAGUUGAGAUGCUAAGAAGGGAGGAACUUCACCACUAAAGGAAGAACUGAACCCGGUGGAGAGAAGCCCAGGAGGCAAGUUAUCCCUAUAGGAUUAUCCAGGAAA
rnacentral:lncRNA from 1 species